AUCUCCUGGAAGCUUAACUUCUUAUCCAUCCCAUCUCUUGGACAGAUGAUGCCAGUUAAUUACUUUGAAGCCAAAAGAGACCUGCCAGCUACAGUCAGCAUCGGUCAACCAUCUGUGAAACUGUGAGCUGACAACUUGUCCCCUCCCGGCGAAGGCCACAACAUCCCAACACCAUUAGUCACCAAGGAAGUCUGGGAGAAGUUUCUACCAACUGUAGCGAAAAAGAGAAGACUCACUGGUGGCACCUGCAGCUGCGGCGUUUUCCCCAAGCUGGUCUGUGGAGAAGCCUGGGACAGAAAGAAGCAGCCAGACUCCAGAAUCCCCCAUUUUAAUAGCUAUUCUAUGCUAUGUCCCCGUCUUAUUCCUGGCAAGGGGUCUGUCACACGCAGCCCAACUCAACUGGAGUCCUGAGAAGGUGAACAGACCAGGAUGGAUGGCCAGGGAACUCACCAGAAGUCCCCAGGCAUCAGAACAAGGUCGAAGCAUCCUUCUGAUCUGUCCCACUUACCUUCUCUGACUCAGCUCUCCUUGUGACUGUUCCCCCCAGCAGGUCACACAUACCUGAAAGUGGCCAGGAUCACUGUGUCCAGGACAGAAGGAAAAGGAAGACGCACAUAGGAUGCGAUUAGGGUACCAGAGGCCCAGGCAGUACUUUUGGGGUAGACGAGGUACAGACCUUUGGCUCCUCACUGUCUUCAAGCCCACAAGAAGCAUAGAGCAGAAGAAGACAGAGGAGGGCCCAUCUGGCCCACUACCUGUUCUUGUAAAUAAAGCUUUAUUGAAGCCAGGUGCUCACCUUCUAGCACAUUCUUCAAGAGUUACUCUGAGGCAAGCCAGCCGCCAUGUCAUGAGGACACUCAAGCAGCACCAUGGAGAGGUCCGAUGGCGAGGAACA
rnacentral:lncRNA from 1 species